rnacentral:rRNA from 1 species
UACGUAGGUGACAAGCGUUGUCCGGAUUUACUGGGCGUAAAGAGCGCGCAGGCGGUCGUUCAAGUCGAGUGUGAAAGCCCCCGGCUCAACUGGGGAGGGUCACUCGAUACUGAUCGACUCGAAGGCAGGAGAGGGAAGUGGAAUUCCCGGUGUAGUGGUGAAAUGCGCAGAUAUCAGGAGGAACACCAGUGGCGAAGGCGGUGGUCUGGGCCGAUACUGACGCUGUAGAGCGAAAGCGUGGGGAGCGAACAGG